UACGGGGGGGGCAAGCGUUGUUCGGAAUUACUGGGCGUAAAGGGCUUGUAGGUGGCCAACUAAGUCAGACGUGAAAUCCCUCGGCUUAACCGGGGAACUGCGUCUGAUACUGAAGAUCUUGAGUUCGGGAGAGGUGAGUGGAACUGCGAGUGUAGAGGUGAAAUUCGUAGAUAUUCGCAAGAACACCAGUGGCGAAAGGCGGCUCACUGGCCCGAUACUGACGCUGAGGCACGAAAGCGUGGGGAGCAAACAGG
rnacentral:rRNA from 1 species